GCUGCCUCCCUCUCGCUCUCCUGCCGCAUCCCCGAGCGGGCGGGCCCCGUAGUCGCUUCGCGGCCGAGGCGGAGGCCCGAGGACCGUGUCUUUUCUCCGAGCGUGGCUGUGGCGGCCGGACCCACGGAAAAAUCAUCCACAUUCUUCUCUUGAGUUUUUCAUCCACCUCUAAGAUCUCCAACAACUUGCUUCAGUAAGAAGUCAACCAACUCUCAGUGAUCCAGUGAAACUGUUGCUGGAGUGAAGAGCCUGGAAAAUUUGAGUGCUGAGGACCAAACCCAGAAUGAGCAGAUGGAAACAGAAGCAUAGUUCAGAGGCUGAAUAAAGAAUUCCUAGAGGUACAACCACAGCCAAGAGGAGGCAGUUUGAAAACUGUACCUUUUGGUUUACUGUCCAGGGGUGGCAGAGCUACCCCUAUUAUAAAGUGUUUUUGCUUUUUCCUGGAGACCACUAAAAUCAUACAGGAAUGUGUAUCCACUAAACAGUAAAAUUGAAAUUUUUCAUUCAUUUUCAGCAUUGAAAUAAAAUCAGUUCACAGUAAGACUAUAUUUAAAGAGAUACAUAAAUGUUAUGCGAAAUAUCUUUGAAGAUAAUCAGUGUGAUUGUUGUUAUUGAGUGAGAACUCACUAAUUUUUGUGUUCUUGGAGUUAAAGAUGUAACUACAAAAGCAAGACCAAACACCAACCAAUUUCUAAGCUUUAAUUUUCUUACUGUCCAGGUAAAAAUGCUGCUUUGCAAUGUAGUGGAAAGGGGAGUAAAAUUUACAUUGUCUUUUUGGAGAGAUGAAUAUUCUUUCUUCACUUUUACCCCAAAAUGAGUUCUAAUCAUCAAAAUAAGUUAUUAGUAAAUCUUCAAUCUGAAGAGAUUUCUGCCAGAUUUUUUUCUUCAGUGACCCUGAAGUGGUUGUUUGGGUAGUAUACAAACGGAAAUCAUGUUUUGGUAAUUUAUAAAUGUAUCUAAUUGCAAAUUUUCCCAACACCAGUCACCUGAUGGACGGUAAUUAUUGCAUAUGCAAGAAAACAAUGUUCACAAAUAAUGCUUGUGAUGUUUCUCAUUUUCCAAGUCUGAUUCAUUUAAGAAUUCAGAAAAUGAAGGUAACAUUUCAUAAAUAAUUUGUCAAUACUGCCAUUUUUUCCCCCUUUCCUAAAUGUCAAUUUGAUGGCAAGCUUAAGGUCAUAGGUACCUUUGAGACUCAAAUUUAAUUCAUGUGUAAGUAAAGAUAGUUUACAAAUAUUCUUCCUCUUGAAAAUAUUUAACCAGAUUUAAAUCUUUUCAUUUUAAAAUAUUUCAAUUUCAAGUGGAAAUUCAACUACAGUAUGAAGUGGUAAAUAUGUAUGCUUAAACCUUAUCUUUGACAAAUUUAGUGUAUCGCUCUUAACAAAAUUUACAAUUUGGCCACAUUGUGUAAGAAGUUCAUUUAACCAUGGAGACUUGUUUCCUGCUUUGUGCUCAUGAUGAAUAAACAAUGCAUAAAUAUC